rnacentral:lncRNA from 1 species
CCCCUCAAAAUUUUCAUUUUCCCUCUAUUCCCGCUUGUUUAUUUCCCUCCCUCACGAAUUUCUCACCCUCACAAACCCUAAUCGAACCCCAAGUCUCUCUGUCGCAUCCAUCUCGUUCCUUUUGACACCACUCACUACCGAUACCUUCCAGUGAACCGACCCCAUCCCUGCCCUGCAUUGCACCGUCCCAUCCCUGCCCUACAUUGCACCGUCGUUGCGGUCUAGUGCACCGUGUCUCUCCUGUUCGUUACAGCCACUGUGUGCAAUUUUCCACUAAAUUCAUAUGAAUAUGUUGUGUCUAAAUCUCUGUUUUUAUUCGCUCGUUAUGAUGUUUAGAAUAUGUGCAUACCAAGUGUUUGAUGAAAUGUUUGUGUUAGUUUUCCCCUCUAAUUUUAUUCACAUUUGUCUAAGUGCCUUGGUUUCAAUUAUUCUUGGUUGUGUGUAGGUUGAGUUGGACAUGGUGAAGAUUCUUCCUACUUACAAAGGAUAAAAAAACAUGUUGGAACCGUUGAAUGCACUUCAGGUGCACUUGCCAGCACUAAUAAUCGAACUCAGUUUUUCAUGAGAAGCAUUUCAAAGGUACCAAACUUAAAACUUGGCCAAAGCACUUGAGAUCGCAAAGAAAGCCCCGCGAACGUUCUUCGAGCUCUUGCAUGAGGCGGUUUCUACGGAUCGGAAUGCUAGGAUUGAAGAAGUCGAUUCGGGUUGUAAGGCAUACGAAGUUGCCUGUAUGAUUUUUUAGGUUGCAAACUUUUUUGAGCUAUUUCACAAAGUGUAUACGUUUUGUGUUUCAUACGGGAACCAUGUAGUUUUUGGAAACGUGUUUAAUAUGUUAGAAAUUUUUGUUUGU